CUCAUUAAAUCAGUUAUCGUUUAUUUGAUAGUACCUUACUACAUGGAUAACCGUGGUAAUUCUAGAGCUAAUACAUGCUAAAAAUCCCGACUUCGGAAGGGAUGUAUUUAUUAGAUUAAAAACCAAUGCCCUCCGGGGCUCUCUGGUGAUUCAUAAUAACUUCUCGAAUCGCACGGCCUUGCGCCGGCGAUGGUUCAUUCAAAUUUCUGCCCUAUCAACUUUCGACGGCUGGGUCUUGGCCAGCCAUGGUGACAACGGGUAACGGAGGGUUAGGGCUCGACCCCGGAGAAGGAGCCUGAGAAACGGCUACUACAUCCAAGGAAGGCAGCAGGCGCGCAAAUUACCCAAUCCCGACUCGGGGAGGUAGUGACAAUAAAUACUGAUACAGGGCUCUUUUGGGUCUUGUAAUUGGAAUGAGUACAAUUUAAAUCCCUUAAC
rnacentral:rRNA from 1 species